CUGCCUUAAGGGCACCAGAUCCCAUCUGCUCUUGGAAGCUAAGAAAGAUCAACCCUGAUUAGUACUUGGAUGGGAGACUGCUAAGAAAUACCAGUG
rnacentral:rRNA from 1 species